GGGUUUGUGGCUCAGUGGUGGAGUGCUUAUCUCACAUAUAUGAGGCACUGGGUUUGAUUCUCAGCACCA
rnacentral:tRNA from 1 species